AUUGAACGCUGGCGGCAGGCUUAACACAUGCAAGUCGAGCGGUAGCACAGGGGAGCUUGCUCCCUGGGUGACGAGCGGCGGACGGGUGAGUAAUGUCUGGGAAACUGCCUGAUGGAGGGGGAUAACUACUGGAAACGGUAGCUAAUACCGCAUAACGUCGCAAGACCAACGAGGGGGACCUUCGGGCCUCUUGCCAUCAGAUGUGCCCAGAUGGGAUUAGCUAGUAGGUGGGGUAAUGGCUCACCUAGGCGACGAUCCCUAGCUGGUCUGAGAGGAUGACCAGCCACACUGGAACUGAGACACGUUCCAGACUCCUACGGGAGGCAGCAGUGGGGAAUAUUGCACAAUGGGCGCAAGCCUGAUGCAGCCAUGCCGCGUGUGUGAAGAAGGCCUUCGGGUUGUAAAGCACUUUCAGCGAGGAGGAAGGUGGUGAGCUUAAUACGUUCAUCAAUUGACGUUACUCGCAGAAGAAGCACCGGCUAACUCCGUG
rnacentral:rRNA from 1 species